rnacentral:misc_RNA from 1 species
UGCGAAACAGGGAGACACAAUUAAAAGUGGGACAAUUAUCAGAUUGCAACACAUGAGGACAAGGAAAUGGCUGCACAGCCACUUGCAUGCGUCCCCAAUAUCGGGAAAUCUAGAGGUUAGUUGCUUUGGUGGAGAUUCUGACUCCGACACGGGUGAUUACUGGAGGCUUAUGAUCGAAGGGAGUGGAAAGACAUGGAAGCAAGAACAGAGAGUUCGGCUUCAGCAUAUCGAUACCGGUGGCUACUUACACAGUCAUGACAAGAAAUACAGCCGUAUUGCCGGAGGGCAGCAGGAGGUCUGUGGAGUCCGGGAGAAGCG